UACGGGGGGGGCAAGCGUUGUUCGGAAUUACUGGGCGUAAAGGGCUCGUAGGUGGCCAACUAAGUCAGACGUGAAAUCCCUCAGCUUAACUGGGGAACUGCGUCUGAUACUGGAUGGCUUGAGUUUGGGAGAGGGAUGCGGAAUUCCAGGUGUAGCGGUGAAAUGCGUAGAUAUCAGGAGGAACACCGGUGGCGAAGGCGCUCAUCUGGCCCAAUACUGACGCUGAAGCGCGAAAGCUAGGGGAGCAAACAGG
rnacentral:rRNA from 1 species